rnacentral:tRNA from 1 species
GUCUCGGUGGCGCAAUUGGUAAGCUUGCCCUUUCAAAUCUACAUCAUCACCCAGUCACUAAUUCAAAUAACAGGUUAGCGCGUACGACUGUUAAUCGUGAGGUUGAGAGUUCGAUCCUCUCCCGGGACG